rnacentral:rRNA from 1 species
GACGAACCGUGCGAACGUUGUUCGGAUUCACUGGGCUUAAAGGGCGCGUAGGCGGACUCGCAAGUCUGUGGUGAAAGCCCCCAGCUCAACUGGGGAAGUGCCGUGGAUACUGCAAGUCUGGAGGAGGGUAGGGGCAUCUGGAACGCUGGGUGGAGCGGUGAAAUGCGUUGAUAUCCAGCGGAACUCCGGUGGCGAAGGCGAGGUGCUGGACCCUUUCUGACGCUGAGUGCGCGAAAGCUAGGGUAGCAAACGGG